UUCAUUUGUGUAAUGAUCGUAUCUAGAAUUAUGUGUGGAGACAAUGUUUAGAGCACAACCCCUGUGCACUUUGCUCAAUGGUUCCACCAAUUAAAUACUAGACGGGUUGUCCUGUAUAUCGAUAUUUAAGCUAAAAAAAUGAUCUUGUAAUCUGCUUUGUUAGCACUGUUGAGAAGCUUGUGCUUAAACUUAAGGAAGAAAAUGUUUUCCAAAUGCAAAUUAAGCGAUAGGAAGUGAUUCAGGUACAUAACCACGGGUUCCAAUGAAUGGGAUCAGACUAAGUUGGAAAAGAAGGGAAUACAGGACAUUCUCGUUCUGCCUUAGCACAUCUCUAUCGAUUCUGUAAUUUCUAGAAUUUGACGUUUGCGCUAUGCUUCUAGGACCUUCUACUUACUAGAAAAUUUAUCUUGUUUUUGCAUGUAAGAAGUGUUGUCGGUCAUAGUUCAGGUCCAAUUCUAAAGGGUUAUUAAGACAAAGAGGAAAAAGUUUUCAAAUUACUUGCACCAAAUACAGAUCAUAGAUGUCUAUAUUUCCUAUGCAGGUAUACGCUAUGUCAUCUUCUCAACUAGGGGUGAUCAUUGCCCAUAAUUGGUUUGAAAUUGAUGUCCUUUCAUAUAAAUCUGAAUUGAUCUACUGAAUCACAAGGAAGAUAUUAAUCUGAAAUGAUUAAGUUGAAUUAUCCUGAAGUGCUUUCUGUUCAGUCUUGAAGUAGUUGAUAUAUGUAUCUGGCUGAAGUAAUUAUAAGACAAAUAGUGACAACUGGUGCUUUCUGAUUAGCUGAAGGUGAAUAAAAGAAUAAUUCCCUCAUCCCUUCCUUUCUUCAUGUGCUCUUCUGAUGUGUUUACCCUUCGUUUCAGCUGCCGGCAACUCUUAAACCAGGUGUCACAGUUGUUAUAUCUCCCCUGCUAUCUCUCAUCCAGGAUCAAAUAAUUACUCUAACCCUCAAGUACGGAAUACCGUCUACUUUCUUGAACUCUCAGCAAACUGCUGCCCAAGCAGUGGCUGCCCUCCAAGAACUAAGGCAAGAUAAACCAUAGUGCAAGCUAUUGUAUGUAACUCCUGAAAGGAUUGUGGGAAACCCAUCAUUUCUUGAGAUAUUAAAAUGCUUGCAUAGAAAGUUACUAUUUCUGAUUCACUGUAACUUUUUCUGAAAGUUUCUUUUUAAUUUUUUGGUACUCGACCAUCACGCAUUGCAGGACAACUUGCUGGUUUUGUUGUUGAUGAGGCACAUUGUGUGAGUCAAUGGGGACAUGAUUUUCGUCCAGAUUAUAGGGGACUGGGAUGUCUCAAGCAAAACUUUCCAUACGUUUUAGUGAUGGCCUCAACUGGAACUGCCACUCAGCCAGUUCGUGAGGUACGAAACUUGCACAUUAACCUCCAGAUUUUGUUGAAAUAAUCAUUUGGGACCGAUUGAAAUGUGCAUCCAUAGCAGGAUAUCCUAAAAGCUCUCAGGAUGCCCCAUGCUUUUGUUUUUGAGACAAGCUUUGAAGACCAAACCUAUAGUAUGAGGUCAUAGCUAUAACCAAGGAACCACUGAAGCAGCUUGGAUAGCUGCUAAAGAACCGGUUUGCUAAUUUUUUUGUGUCAUAGUAUAUUGCCUCUCAAAGAGUGAAUGUGUUGAUGUUGCAAAAUACUUGAAUGAUAAGUGCGGUGUAAAGACGGUGUACUAUCAUGCUGGAUUAGCAGCCUGUCAAAGAGUAGCUGUUCAAAAGAAAUGGCAUACUGGAGAGGUCCGGGUUGUAUGUGCCACCCUUGCUUUUGGGAUGGGAAUAGAUAAACCUGAUGUUGUAAGUUGAAAUGGACCAUGGGCCUUUGCCUAUUUUUUAGUUUAUAAUCAAGCUGACAUGCUGACAAUUACUCGACCAAUCUUCUUUUCUUCUAAUUUUUAAGUUUCACUAAUUGGUUUCUUAGUGUGCUUUGAGCCUGGACCAUGCCACAUGCUGCAUGUGGUACAUGCGCGUGAUUGCACAUUGUUAGAGAGAUCAAAUUGGAUAUGGUGACUUAGGUCCCCUAAGAGGAAAAAAAACAAGUUCAUGGUGACUUUGAUGCAAGUCAUGGGAUAUUCCACAUUUGUACAUUCUCAUCAGCGUGAAGUUCACCAAGCAAUUCCAUAGCUUGAGACGGGCGACUCUCGGUGGUUUUCCUGUUUCCGCGCACGUCUCGCUUGCAAUGCCGGCUCAAAUCCUAGUGUCGAUAAACUCAAUGCGUAGCUCAGUGUCGCUCGUUGCAAUUUUAUUACUGCGUUCGGCAGGAGGUAAGCGCAAAUCUUGAGUAGCUUGCGUGAAAAUUCGUGAUUUUGUUUUUGCUUGGGCGUGUGCUAUUGUUAUGUUCGUGCGUGAAUCUCGAGUGUGUGCUCUCUCUCUUGAAAGAGAGAGACUGCGGAUCGAUUCGAUUCCGACUCGGGCAUCAUCGAUUGAUCGACCGAAUUGCUUGAGCAGGUUGAAAUUCCACGGAGGAGCAGGGCUUGGAGGUAGAGAAAAUUGUGUCAUCUGUUGAUGAUGAUGGCUCUGGAAUAAUAGUAUACUUUGGAUUUGAAUGGGAACGGAGCUGAUUCAAAUUUUAGUUCAUGAUGCUGUGAUUAAGAUUGCCUGAUCCGUUCUCCACUUCAAAUUUUCCUAAAUAAAGUUGAUGCUGAUUGCAAAGUCAGAUGAAUACUUGUGUUUGUAGGAUUGACGUUGCGAUGUAUUUCGGGUCGAUUUUGUUGUUUUUAGGACUUUGUCUUGGCCAAAUGUUUGUUUAAGCCUCGUUUCUGGGAUUCUUUAACCAACCCUAAUUUCCUCAACUCGUCUAUUUCAGUUCCUCUUUGUUGCCAUACGAUUAUGCUACCGAAGCUAUAUAAUCUAAAAAUGCUGUGCGCGGUUGUUAAAUAAACCGAAAGGCUUUCCAUAGUUCCAUUUUGGUUUGAGGAUGUUUUUCAUAUUUUUAAUACCGUCCCGUCGAGCUCGGAGUUACAAAAUUGAGGAAAUCCAGAAAAAUGAAGUGAAACCUCCUCUGUCCUUUCGAAACUUACGUAGUUGUUGGUCGAAUGGCUGUUAAUUUAUAGGAGCUUGAUGUAAAAUGUGAUAGAACUUUCGAAAACAAGCUCGAAGCAAGUCGCUAGCAUGAAAUCGAAGUAGAAGAAAAAGGGAAAAACCCGUGACAAGAACCGAAUUGGUUCUAUUGGUUCGACUCGUUCAUCCAAUUAUCCGGUGGAUUCACAAUUUUCCAACUUAAAAUCAAUUCGGUCGAUAAGGUUGUGAAAUGUUCGACAAGUUAUUGUGUGUCAUUUGUUGUGCUUGUGUACUCCCGACAAUUGUUCUUUGUGUCGUCUGGUGCAGUGAUCCCGAGCGCAUGAGGUAAUCUGAUUUUUUUUUUCCACGGUUCUCGCUAUAGGUUGGCUAGUUUUAACCAAAUAAUGGCAUGAGUAUGAUAACUUUAAUCGAACUUCUUAAGGGCAUGUUUGUUUGUACCUAAUUAAAAAAAAAAGGUACUUUUCUAGUUUCCCGCCAAAACGUGAAAUACUAUUCAAAUUUGAGAAAAUUAUGAAAAAGUUGUAUGUGAAUCUACGUGUCGACAUUUGAGUUUUGUGAAAGUUUCAUAAGUUUUGAAUUUAUAAAAAGUUAAAGUGGGUGAGCUGCAAUAUUUAGAUUAAGCAAAAAUAAAAAUGUAGAAGUCAUUCCCAAUAUGCCCUAAGCUUGGACAGUUUUUACAGCUUUUUCUCCUAGUUCUCCCUAAGUUCCUCAAAGCCUGCUUGCACUUUCCCACCUUGGUUCAAUCGCAGAGGACUUCCAAUCCAAUUGCUAAAUUGGGUUCUUCGCUUUUCUUUCUCUAUAACUUGGUUGAAUUCUGGCUCUUUGGUCUUGGUGCAUAGAAAUGAACCCUCAGAUGAAGUUUCUUUUUUUGGAGAAUUGAGAGCAACUUUUUUUGUUGAAUGUUUCUGAGAGUACUUGGAGCGUGUCAUUUUUGGUUCUGGCUGCUUUGUCGUUCUGUAUGGAUGAUAAACAGGAUUCUUUAUGAUGCUUGUUAUCUCUAAACUAAUGUUUUUAUUCUUUGUGGGACAGUUCUGCUUCCAUGGGAUGGGACGACAAAAUUGUCAAACAGCCGGAAGAAGAAACUCAUGAAUCAUGGACCCUAUCUCUUCA